UACGUAGGGGGCAAGCGUUGUCCGGAUUUAUUGGGCGUAAAGCGCGUGUAGGCGGCCCUGCAAGUCGGAUGUGAAAUCCCUCGGCUUAACCAAGGAAGUGCAUCCGAAACUGCAGUGCUUGAGUACGAAAGAGGAUCGCGGAAUUCCCGGUGUAGAGGUGAAAUUCGUAGAUAUCGGGAGGAACACCAGUGGCGAAGGCGGCGAUCUGGGUCGAUACUGACGCUGAGGUGCGAAAGCGUGGGGAGCAAACAGG
rnacentral:rRNA from 1 species